rnacentral:rRNA from 1 species
CUUCUCUUGAGAGCGGCGGACGGGUGAGUAAUGCCUAGGAAUCUGCCUGGUAGUGGGGGAUAACGUUCGGAAACGGACGCUAAUACCGCAUACGUCCUACGGGAGAAAGCAGGGGACCUUCGGGCCUUGCGCUAUCAGAUGAGCCUAGGUCGGAUUAGCUAGUUGGUGGGGUAAUGGCUCACCAAGGCGACGAUCCGUAACUGGUCUGAGAGGAUGAUCAGUCACACUGGAACUGAGACACGGUCCAGACUCCUACGGGAGGCAGCAGUGGGGAAUAUUGGACAAUGGGCGAAAGCCUGAUCCAGCCAUGCCGCGUGUGUGAAGAAGGUCUUCGGAUUGUAAAGCACUUUAAGUUGGGAGGAAGGGCAGUAAAUUAAUACUUUGCUGUUUUGACGUUACCGACAGAAUAAGCACCGGCUAACUCUGUGCCAGCAGCCGCGGUAAUACAGAGGGUGCAAGCGUUAAUCGGAAUUACUGGGCGUAAAGCGCGCGUAGGUGGUUCGUUAAGUUGGAUGUGAAAUCCCCGGGCUCAACCUGGGAACUGCAUUCA